rnacentral:tRNA from 1 species
UAGCUCAGUGGUAGAGCACUUGUCUAGCAGGCAUGAAGCCCUGGAUUCAAUUCCCAG